AGUCACUUAGGAUUUCUAUAUUAUUAUAUAGUGCACCUUUUCACUACUAGGUUUCUAGAUGGCCUUUAUCUGGGCUGCUCUUCUCCCACUCUGCCUGUUUUCUUUAAGGAUCUUCUCAAUUCUUUCCUGUUCCCUCUAGAAAGAGUUGAGCAAUGCUCCUUGUGCACAGCUGCACUCUGUACAUGCCGCAGGUAAUCAUCUGAUUGCCUGCUUUUCUGCCUUUCCUAGAUUACAUUUCUUUAGGACAGAAACUACUUAGUUUCUUCUCUGUAUCCCUUGUGCUAAGACUAAUGCCUAUCACAGAAUAAUUUUUCAAUAAAUAUUUGCCACCUAAUUAAAUGAAUGAAUGAGCCUCCAGCUGAAAGAGUUCAAGCCUUGGGAGAUAAAAGCCAUGCAGCUUAGGAGGACAGAGCAGAAAUCUGCUGUCUGUUUAGGCAAAUAAAUUCAUUGACUAAUCAAUUGGACUUGAAGGAUUCGUAAAUACCUCAAUAAUGAGGAAGUAAUGUAAAUGGAGAUUUAGCUUUGGUUGAGUGGGAGCAUGAAUUAGUGGUCCAUCUUUUUAGUAGCCAGACAGGUUGAAAGUAUGGUUGAUUUUUAUUUGAAUGAAUUUAUUGAUUCCAUUAUUGAUUUUAAUGGUGAUGCCAGUCAUUGUGCUAAGUUUUACAUAAGGUGAAAACUAAACCUAAUUAAGGCCCUGCGAGCAUGAACUGAAUAAACUGCAAUACAAGGUUGAGUGAUAAGUACCACAGGAGAAGAACAUGUGAAAGUUUACAAACUGAGAGAUCUCAUCAGGCAAGUGACAAUCCUAUCCAAGGCUUAAAAUAGGAACCAGGCCAGCCCUCCCUUGCAGUGCAGGAUUCAGACUGAGAGUCUCUGAUUGGUAAGUACUGUGCUAUGUCUUGCAUUAGAGGUUGUCGGAUCAGCACAGUAAUUCAUCUCAGGUAGUGCCUGAAGAGCUAACAGGCAUUGAUCAAGACACUGAAAGCUCAGCUAAUGAAAGGUGCUAGCCACUGGUGCAAUGGAAGCUCCUGCAGAAUGCUUUGCUUUGGCCAGGGUGAGCUUAGAUUGAAUUUGUAGGUAUAGAGCUGUUUCUCAAGGACAGCUCAUGGACCAUGUCAACUGUAUUGUUAAAUCAAAAUCUCUAGGAGGUUUGAGCACUAAAUCUACAUUUUAACAAGUUCCUGGUUAUUUUAUCCAUACUGAGUUUAAGAAUUAAGAAUUUUUGGUGUGGGGACUUGGUGAAUUGGAAAGCAGGAACAGCUUCUUUCUCUUCCUGGUGUGUGCGCAUUCCUGAGUGUGUGUGUUCAUGUGUGUGUAUUUAAGAACAGUAAUGGGGGCGUUGAAGAGGUUGGAAGAAAGCCAUUAGAACAGCAUAUAAUUGAUUUCAAGUACUAUUGUAUUAAAUAUCAACAAAACAGCUUUAGGCUUUUGUUUGAGUUUAAUGUUUGGUCUUCCUAAUAUAGUAGAUUAAUUAUUUCAAUAAAACAAUAAAAUUUCUAUGAGAGGGUAAAUGGCAUAACAAUACACUCCUUCUCAAGUGCAGAACUUGAAAACACCAUUCCCAAGCAGAAUAUAAAUGCAUUUUUUGGUGUAUUAUUCUCUGAUAUUUCCUCUUUUGAAUAGCAGAGAAAGAAGUAUGUGUGUGGCACUGUGGUUAAAUAUGGAAUGCAGGCUCUAAAGGAUUCCUUUUCCUCUGAAAGUCUUAACAGGCGCCUCACCUUUCUCUGGUUUUCCUUCUAGUCUCAUGCAAAGACUAAACAACAACAAUCAACUCGAUAAAAUAGUGUCCAUAGGCCAGCUUAGGUUAGGCUGGUUGCAUGGAAAGAAUGUGACUGGGAAUUCAUAUCCUAGAGUCAAGCCAGAAACUUAAUGAUUAAACAAAUCACUUCCUUGAACGCAGUCUUUUUCCAAGGUUCUGUUAGCCAUACUCUCAGGAAGCUGUGAAGUAGGGAGAUCUACGUGGGGGUCUCUUUGUACUGAGACUCAUCAGCAUCUCGGAAAGCAGAAGGGCCUGAAUUAUUGCAGGCACAAGUGGGAGGCUGGGACAGCAUUUCUGACUUCCUGGGAGAAGAUGUCGAAGACACAGGAGAAGACAAGCCAGGGAGAGGGGCUUAGAGCAGAUUCUCCCUUGCAGCCUCAGAAGGAAUCAGUCCUGGUCACACCUUGAUCUCAGACUUCUGGCCUCCAGAAUGGUAGCAGCAGCAAAAAUGGCAAAAUGAGGACUUUUGAGAAUUCCUUUCUCUAUGGAAACAAAACCCUGGGGGAAAAUGGUCUGAAUCAACCUUUUCAGAACUCUGGAAAUUAGCCCGAGACUUGAAGCAAUUCAGGUUGCAUUUGUAUAAGAAAAGUGACAGAAUCUCAGUAAGAACAGCAAGCUUUGAAGGAUUUGAACUUGCCCAGUUGCCUUCCUUCUUUCUCCAUCUCUGCAGGGGACUUAAAACCAACAUCCCACACUCAUAAUGAAAACCUGGCAGGAGGCAGAACAGGAUUGGAGCUGCUUCAAAGCCUUAGGUCCAGAGAACUCAUCACCUAUGCAGAUCCUCAAUAAGACUCAAAGCUGAUUCCGCCUCAGAAACCAUGGAGACCCAAAGCCAAAUUCAAAGUGCUGAAAGUUAACUCAUCCAAUCAGUCAACUCUUGUACAGACCUCCUUUUUUUUUGUUCUUGGAGUUUGUUUUAUUCUAAUAAAGGUGUUUUAUAUUGUUGUUGUAUUAUUCUUAAAUACCAUAUUUUAGUUGCUAUUAUAAAUGGUACUUCUAUUGCCGUUUUGUCUAACAUUUUCUGGUGGUCAAAUUUCUAGCUAGUGUGGAAGAACACUGAUGGUUUUUACUUAUUGAUUUUCUCUCUGGCAAUCUCACUAAACCUUAUGAUAAGUAAUAAACCUUAUGAUAGUAGAAAAGGUUGAUAUGAUAUGAUAGUAGUAAUCCUCUGGAUUACCCAUCCCCUCUUGAUAAUCUCUGUUGAAAUAAUCACAUUAUGUGCAACUAAUGACAAUGUCACUGCUCUUAUAGUCUCUAUGUGCAUUUCUUUUUCUUGUCUUACUGCUUUGACUCAUUCAGUUGACUGCCAUUCACAGAACAGAUGUGGAACGGUUGUUUUCGUUAUCAUGUGCCUAAAAAGAAUGUGAUUAAAAUUUGCCAGUUCAAUAUAAUAUUGGAUGUAGGGUUUUAAUAAAUAACUUUCAACAAA